rnacentral:pre_miRNA from 1 species
ACCAGACCGGUUUUUAAGCCUCUUGCGACGUCUUAGGACCGGAUGCGCUGAAGCGGAGCUGGUCCUAAGACGUCGCAAGAGGCUUGAAAACCGGUCUG